ACUGGUGAGUAACACGUGGGAAACCUGCCCAGAAGCGGGGGAUAACACCUGGAAACAGAUGCUAAUACCGCAUAACAACUUGGACCGCAUGGUCCGAGUUUGAAAGAUGGCUUCGGCUAUCACUUUUGGAUGGUCCCGCGGCGUAUUAGCUAGAUGGUGAGGUAACGGCUCACCAUGGCAAUGAUACGUAGCCGACCUGAGAGGGUAAUCGGCCACAUUGGGACUGAGACACGGCCCAAACUCCUACGGGAGGCAGCAGUAGGGAAUCUUCCACAAUGGACGAAAGUCUGAUGGAGCAACGCCGCGUGAGUGAAGAAGGGUUUCGGCUCGUAAAACUCUGUUGUUAAAGAAGAACAUAUCUGAGAGUAACUGUUCAGGUAUUGACGGUAUUUAACCAGAAAGCCACGGCUAACUACGUGCCAGCAGCCGCGGUAAUACGUAGGUGGCAAGCGUUGUCCGGAUUUAUUG
rnacentral:rRNA from 1 species